CAGAUAAUUAACUAUUAAAAUAACUGUCAAGGCGGGAAAAAAUUUUCAAUAUGGACGCCAUAAUAACCGUUUGACAAAAUGAUCAAUCGGAGAAAUAAUAUUUGAUUUCUCGUAUCAAAAAUUGUAACUGCGCGCAAUGCAGUCAAUAGAGUCAGUGUUUGCUUCGUAAUAGUUUUUAAAUAUUUUAAAUAUUUUUUAAAACGUAACAUUUCAAUUUAAUUGCAUUCGCGAAAUUAGAAUCAGUGUUUGUUCAUCAAUUACAAUAUAAAUAGAUGGAUUGAUAGUUUUUUAUUUUUAUUUUAUUUUAAAUAUAGUAGAAUCAGUAUUUCAAAAGAGAUCAUUCAUCACACGAAGAGUUGCCCAUUUUCUCUUAUUUGAUGAUGACUUCAUUGUGAUUUCACAAUAAGGAUGAGUCAGCAUUAAUGGCAAUGCAAAUUCUUCUCAUCUAAUGGUGAGUCGCAUGCUUUUUGGUUCCUCCAGUCACUCAAUCAUGUCGUAGGACAAAAGGUCCGAAUCGACACGGUAGUUUAUCUAGAAUAUUGCACGAGUACAAUGACCAUAGAUAUUUAUUGUAUAGUAAUAAUAUUUCAUUAUUUAUUAGUUUAGGAUAGGUCUUCUUGCAUACCGGGUUUUAUUAUUUUGAUUUUGCUACAGUAAUUUGUAAAAUUAAAUCAAUACAUGAAUAUUUGUAAAAUAAUCAUAUGAAUAUACAUUUAUAAUAAGAAUAAAAUUGAAACAAAUAAAAAAUAUUGAAAUGAUUUUAAUGAAUAUUAUUUUUAUUUUCUACGUAGAAAAAUGUAAAUUUUAUAUGCAAGAAGACAUUUCGCGACAGUAAAUUUCUAAAUCAAGGCAACACAAGGUUUGAUCAUUCCUUUCGCAUUUUCGAAAAUGUGCUUUGAUGAAGAGAUCAUCUGAGGAUAUUUUAAUUAAUAUUU